rnacentral:lncRNA from 1 species
CCACAUCCACCUCUAAUCCCAGAGACUUUAAGGUUAAAAUAUUUAUAAAGUCCUUCAAGUUUAAAAAAAAAUUGACAUGGGUUUUCAGAAUCAGACCCCAGUCCAUGGCCUAAGAUGGGUUGUUACUAUAUCCUGUUAAAAUAGUAUAGUAGUUAUUAAUUAGUUACAAUUAGUGGUUAUUACUUGUUAAGUAUAAACCUAUAUAAACUCAUGUAAACAAUAUGAUUAAAUCAAUCCGAUAUACCUUUACAUUCUUCUUUGAGUUGGGUUUCAAUCUUCACAGAGCAUCGAGCUUUCUGACAUGGUAUCAGACGGUUAAGCUAUUCUAUGAUGGUGAUCCCAAAAUCGAUCUUCUUGUCCUCUAUUCGUCCAGAUUCUUCCGUCUCCGAUUCAGAUUCUCUGUACAAAUUUCAAGUUACAAAUUGGAUCAUAAAUCAGUUGAAGCGGACGACUGGAGACCUACCUGUUCUGGCACGUCCAAUUUGAGAAUUUGCUCCGCCCUUGACAUCAACAAUAAAUAGAAAUAUUAAGUUCAUGUUCACUACAAUAAAAUAAAAAAUGUUAGCAUUUUACACCAACAUUUGAAACCAGAAUGUUUUUCGGUUAAGAUUAUGGUUAGGGUUAAGUACUCAAACAAUAUAUCUAAAUAUCCUCACAAUAUAAAAACUAAUAAAAUAAAUCCUUGCAUUGGUUUGAUCAGUUGAUCUUACGAUCUAUUUGAUUUUCGCAACCUUUGGAAACUGAUUAGUCAGUAUUAGGGAGUAGCUAGAGAUUAUACAUGAAUUCCAGUUAUAACCAUAAAUCACUAUAAUAACAGUAAUAACUAUAAUAACUCCUAACCUGAAAAAAUCAUGAAUGAUGAAACCAGACAAACCAUGUUUGUUGCUUAGAUCUUAAUGAAACAAUGAAAGUGAUGUCUGUCUGUGGUUGGCUAAUUAAUCAACCAUCAACAAACCGUUAACUGAACUCAUGGACUUAAUUGAAACAGGCCAAAGAACAAGUACGAUGAGAUUCAAAACACAUGUGGGCUAGCUUAGCUGUUAGUGUGGGAACAGGCCACAGCCUGGAUUGAAUUAUAUAUAUAUAUAUAUAUAUAUAUAUAUAUAUGCGGUGUUUCCGGUGUGCCCCGCCGGCCAUCUCCAUCAAAAUCUCACAAUCACAUGGCAGAAAAAUGACAUUUCGCAUCUCCUGCUGACAUAUAUGGUCGUUUCCCUCUUUGUCUUCUUCCUCACGAUUCUUGACUGCAAUCGAUCUCUGCUGAAAUUCCUGAGAAUGAGCGUGGGAAAACAAAAAAUGGAUGCUCCACAAGCUUGCGUCUUCUUACUUAGUUGGGCAAAAAAAACAAAGUUACUCAGAGCAUCUUGCCUCUUCU